CUCAGUCUCCCAAAGUGCUGGGAUUACAGGGAUGAGCCACCACGCCCGGCCACAGUGGGUUUUAUUUAACAGUUAACUGGCUCAUGCUUUAGGGGAGGCAGAAUAGUUGAAAGAACCAGCUAGGAAUCAGAAGACUUGGUCUGUAAUUAUGACUUGCCUGAAACUCUAAGUGACCUUUGGAAAGCCACGAAACCUUUACUGUCUUUUUUCUUACAGGACAAUCAUGAGAGAUUGAUCUCUAAGUCUGAAAUUGGCACUCCAGUGUUUUCUGAAUGAAAACACACAGUAAAUUCUUUGAUUCGGGAGUAAAAACUACUCCAAAACUCCACAAGAGGGCAGCUCCUCCACACCUGAAUGGCCUCAGAGACCUUCCAGGCACCUUUGAGUAUUCAAAGAAUGCUGCAUUGAAUAUUUCAGUACUGUACUUUCAAAAAAGUGAAGAGCCUCACAAGACUUCAUGUUCAGAAAGACCCCUGUGUGAGGAGCACACGUGUGACCUUCUGGAGCGUCUGGGCACUCCUCUCUGCUACAGAACUACAAAUGCUGUUUGGAGACCAGGAGCAGGGAUAUCCACGGAAUCUGAAAGUGCUUCUCUCCUUCCGUCCUCUCAACCUUCCAUCACUGCACUGCUGUGGCUAAAAGGAGACCAAAAGACUGACACCAGGUGGCAAAGGGAAUCUAAGAGAUGCAGCAGGCAGUGCCCCAGCCCUCUCAGUAAUUAGCAGUGCACAGAAGGGAGCAGAGGAAAAAAGCAGGUAAAUGACCAGUACCUUCCCAUUUGCUCCAGCUUGUGUGUUUUAUUGUCACAAAGUAUUUAAAUAUUUUUUAAGUUCCACCAGACAUUAAUUUUACUGCCUGAUGAAAUCAGAAUUCAUAUAGAGCUAUCCAUAAGUGUACUAUUUUCUUUAUUAUUUUUUUUUGAGAUUUGCUGGGAAUGAACUCGUUUUUUUCUUUGUCUGAAAAUGUCUUUAUUUACCUUCAUUCUUACAGAUCUUUUUAUUCAGUAUAGAAUUUUAGCUUUGCAAUUACUUUCUUUCAGUGUAUUAACGGGUCUUUCUGUAUUCUAUUUGCGUAGCCAUGGCUGCUUUGUUUUGUUUUGUUUUGUUUUGCUUUGCUUUUUGAGCUCUGUUACCCAGGAUGGAGUACAGUGGUGAGAUCUUGGCUCACUGCGGCCUCCGCCUCCCUGGUUCAAGUGGUUCUCCUGCCUCAGCCUCCAAAGUAGCUGGGACUACAGGCACACGCCACCAUGCCUGGCUAAUUUUUGUAUUUUUAGUAGAGACGGGGUUUCACCAUGGUGGCCAGGCUGGUCUCAAACUCCUGACCUCAAGCGAUCCACCCACCAUGGCCUCCCAAAGUGCUGGGAUUACAGGCAUGAGCCACUGCGCCCGGCCAUCAUGGAUGCUUUGAAGGUAAUCUCUCUCUUCCUCUCUUUCUCUCCAUCUCUCCUCUCCUCUCUUUCUCCCCAUCUGUCUCCUGUCUCUCUCUUCUUUCUCUCCCUCCCUCUCUCCUCUUUCUCUUCAUUUCUCUAUUUCUCUCUCUCCAUCUCUCUCUCUACCCGCCCCCGCUAUUUCUCUCUUCCUCCCUCUCCCUCAAUAUUUUAACAUAUCCUUUGUCUUUGAUUAUCUACAGUUUUAUUGUGAUUUUUUUGGUAUGAUUUACUUUUCAUUUAUCUUUCUUGGCAUUCAUUGGGUCUCUUGAAUCUGUAAAUUAGUGCUGUGGGCCAGGUGUGGUGCCUCAUGCCUGUAUUCCCAGCACUUUAGGAGACUGAGGCGGGCGGAUCACCUGAGGUCGGGAGUUCGAGACCAGCCUGACCAACAUGGAGAAACCUGGCCUCUACUAAAAAUACAAAGUUAGCCAAGUGUGGUGGCACAGGCCUGUGAUCCCAGCUACUCGGGAGGCUGAGGCAGGAGAAUCGCUUGAACCCGGGAGGUGGAGGUUGCAGUGAGCUGAGAUCGCGCCAUUGCACUCCAGCCUGGGCAACAAGAACGAAACUCUGUCUCAAAAAAAUAAUAAAAAUAAAUAAAUAAAUAAAUAAAUAAAUAAAUAAAUAAAUAAGUGCUGUCCACCCUUUCUGUAGAACUCUCCGACAUUAUCCCUUGAAAUAUCGCCUCUGCCAAUGCGAUAUUUCAAUUGGAAGGUUCCUCUCCUUCUGGAACCUUCCAAUUCUGUUCUCCAAGUCUCUUAUUCUCUCUUUCCUGUUCUCCAUCUUUCUCUCUCUCAUUCUAUAUAAUAUCUUCUGGCCUACCUUCCAAAUCUGUUAUUUUUAUCUUCUGUAUUCAAUCUGCUUUAAAACUUCAUUUUGCUGAGUUAUUAAUUUGGGUUAUUUUAUUUUUUCAUGGGUAGAAUUUUUAUUUGGUUCAUUUACAAAUCUGUUAUAUCACAUGUCAUCAUCUCCCAUUCACCAAGAAUUUUUUUAAAGCCUGUCAUAUGUUUCAAAUAAUAAUAAUUACAUAUAAUCUGUUUGUAAUAAUUCUAGCAUAUGAAGUCUUGUGGGGGGGGUCUGUUAUCUGCUGGGUUUUUGUUAGUUCUUGUUCAUUGCAUCUUAUUUUUUUGUUGUACUAAUUUAUCUUUGAUUUAGUGCUAUCUUUGCCCUUGAAAAUUUAUUCGUGCGGUCUUUCAGAGGCCUGGGAUGAAGAUGCCUUUAUCCAGAGAGGUUUUGCAUUUACAACUGCCAAACACCUGGGUACUAGGAAUCUGUAACCAUGUUUAAGUAAACAUGUCUCUUAUACCUAAUACUGUGAAUUUGGGCUGUGAGCACUCACCAGGGACAGCAUUUGUUUUUCAAGUUUGGGGAUCAGCCUUCUUCCCCACUCAACCCCAAAUUCUUCCCAUUCAAGAGGGUACAGGAAAAGAGGUCUGGGUAUACUUCUGGUUCUGCCCAUCCUUCUGAGUCUCAGCUCAGUUUCCCAGCUGCCUCCAGGCAGAUCUGCAGAUGCUCUCAGUGCAAGAGUGGACUGUGCUCUUCCCACUUUCUCUUGUUUCUUGACCUCCAAAUUUCAAACUCUAUUUUUAUAUGCUUUAAAGAACUUUUCCAUACUCUCUCAUUUUAACUUGUCUUCCCAUAGGAAUGUGGUCCAAAUAACAGCUUGCUGUCAUCAAAAAUGGAAGGUCCCCCUUGUCAUCUUUCUACAUUUUUUUCAUUUCUAUUAAGUGUUGGAUCAAUCCAAUGUCAGUUAGAGGCCAAGAAAGUGUUUGUGUUUCCGCAAUUCUGAUCAUUUCCACCUAUUACACACAGUCGGUGUGAAAGUCAAAUAAGAUACUAAAGGUAAAAGUUCCCCUUUCUUUAAAUUUGUAAAUACUGUCUUUCCAAAGAGAAUAUAAAUUCCUUUACAUAUAA